UACGGAGGGUGCAAGCGUUAUCCGGAUUCACUGGGUUUAAAGGGUGCGUAGGUGGGUAGGUAAGUCAGUGGUGAAAUCCCCGAGCUUAACUUGGGAACUGCCGUUGAUACUAUCUAUCUUGAAUAUCGCGUAGGUAAGCGGAAUAUGUCAUGUAGCGGUGAAAUGCUUAGAUAUGACAUAGGACACCAAUUGCGAAGGCAGCUUACUUCACGAUUAUUGACACUGAGGCACGAAAGCGUGGGGAGCAAACAGG
rnacentral:rRNA from 1 species